rnacentral:lncRNA from 1 species
UGUCUUUGAGAAUUGACCAAAUGUGUUGGCUUGGGUUGGAAACCCUUCAAUUUGUAUUAAGUUUUAAAUGAUAGUUAAUAUUCAUUUUGAAUUUAUAAAAUAUGCAUUACCAUGGUUAAAUGAAUGUCUAUUAUGGCUGAAUUGGAUAUAUGAAUUGUGCUUGUGUUGGUAUUGGUUGACUUGUGUAUGAAACUAGGUAUGUAAAGGUGGCAAUGAGGCUUAGUAAAUAGCCUUAUAUUGUCC